rnacentral:rRNA from 1 species
AUUGAACGCUGGCGGCAGGCUUAACACAUGCAAGUCGAGCGGAGAUGAGGUGCUUGCACCUUAUCUUAGCGGCGGACGGGUGAGUAAUGCUUAGGAAUCUGCCUAUUAGUGGGGGACAACAUUCCGAAAGGAAUGCUAAUACCGCAUACGUCCUACGGGAGAAAGCAGGGGAUCUUCGGACCUUGCGCUAAUAGAUGAGCCUAAGUCGGAUUAGCUAGUUGGUGGGGUAAAGGCCUACCAAGGCGACGAUCUGUAGCGGGUCUGAGAGGAUGAUCCGCCACACUGGGACUGAGACACGGCCCAGACUCCUACGGGAGGCAGCAGUGGGAAAUAUUGGACAAUGGGGGGAACCCUGAUCCAGCCAUGCCGCGUGUGUGAAGAAGGCCUUAUGGUUGUAAGGCACUUUAAGCGAGGAGGAGGCUACUGAGACUAAUACUCUUGGAUAGUGGACGUUACUCGCAGAAUAAGCACCGGCUAACUCUGUGCCAGCCGCCGCAGUAAAAC